GUGUCAGCCGCCGCGGUAAUACGUAGGCAGCAAGCGUUGUUCGGAGUUACUGGGCGUAAAGGGUGUGUAGGCGGUUCUCUAAGUUUGGUGUGAAAUCUCCCGGCUCAACCGGGAGGGUGCGCCGAAAACUGGAGGACUGGAGUGCGGGAGAGGAGAGUGGAAUUCCUGGUGUAGCGGUGAAAUGCGUAGAUAUCAGGAGGAACACCGGCGGUGUAGACGGCUCUCUGGACCGUAACUGACGCUGAGACACGAAAGCGUGGGGAGCAAACAGGAUUAGAUACCCCCGUAGUCC
rnacentral:rRNA from 1 species